rnacentral:miRNA from 2 species
UCAUGAUCAUAGAACAAGAGACA